UACAGAGGUCUCAAGCGUUGUUCGGAUUCAUUGGGCGUAAAGGGUGUGUAGGUGGCGCUGUAAGUCGGGUGUGAAAUCUCGGAGCUCAACUCCGAAACUGCAUUCGAUACUGCCGUGCUUGAGGACUGGAGAGGAGACUGGAAUUUACGGUGUAGCAGUGAAAUGCGUAGAUAUCGUAAGGAAGACCAGUGGCGAAGGCGGGUCUCUGGACAGUUCCUGACACUGAGGCACGAAGGCCAGGGGAGCAAACGGG
rnacentral:rRNA from 1 species